GUUGAAACACCGCUUCCCGUUAUUAUCAUCGAAGUUAAGCAACGACGUGCCUGGUCAGUAAUUUGAUGGGUAACCGCUUGGGAAUACCCGG